GUAAUUGCUGUUGCUGCAGUUGCUGCUGCAUCUGCUGCUGCUGCUGUAUGCUCUGUUGCGUUUGCAGUGUUUGCUGUUGCAGCAGCUGUUGCU
rnacentral:sRNA from 1 species